rnacentral:rRNA from 1 species
CCUACGGGAGACAGCAGUGAGGAAUAUUGGUCAAUGGGCGGAAGCCUGAACCAGCCAAGUCGCGUGAGGGAAUAAGGCCCUACGGGUCGUAAACCUCUUUUGCCGGGGAGCAAGGGCGGGGACGUGUCCCGGCCCGGAGAGUACCCGGAGAAAAAGCAUCGGUCAACUCGGUGCCAGCAGCCGCGGUAAUAAGGAGGAUGCGAGCGUUAUCCGGAUUGAUUGGGUUGAAAGGGUGCGUAGGCGGACGCUUAAGUCAGCGGUAAAAUUGCGGGGCUCACCCUCGUCGAGCCGUUGAAACUGGGUGCCUUGAGUGGGCGAGAGGUACGCGGAAUGCGUGGUGUAGCGGUGAAAUGCAUAGAUAUCACGCAGAACUCCGAUUGCGAAGGCAGCGUACCGGCGCCCAACUGACGCUGAAGCACGAAGGCGUGGGUAUCGAACAGGAUUAGAUACCCUUGUAGUC